CAAUCAGCUCCCUCCAGCUGCUUGUGUCAUGUCCAGGUGUUCCUUGUUGUCUUGUCAAUCUGUGUGUAAUUGUCUCCCUGUUUUUUUUCACUUUACGUCGGUCCAUUGUUUGUUGGUGUCACUGUUUGUUCAUGACUCUUUCUGCAUGCCCAUGCCAUUGUUGCUGUCCUGUCAAAGUUCUCCAUUAUGCCUUGCCUUUCCUCAUCUUCAAAACCAAUACAGUGAAACAAUGGACCGACCAUAACAGGACGCAGCGGGACGAGGGCGCCGUAACCUGUCACACCGUCAUUCUGCCUCCCAGUGCCCUCUGCCUGCCAACAAUACCUACCCUCCUCAACUCCCACCUUGGUCAGUCUGGUGGACUUCUCGGCCACCCAAUACGAGGUGCUUGUCUGAGCAUUUCAGAAGGUCAGCUACGACGGGAAGCACCAGUGUCUCUACUCAGCUGUACAUCCAUGAGGAGGGUGCCAAUGGCAAAGCAGGACCCAGACAACAGGAACAGAUGAGUGCCACUCAUCACCCGCUGCGUCAGGAGCAUGAGUGAGAAGAUGCGGCAGUGGUUGAAGAGCCACUGUGGCAGGAGCUAGAGGCAGUGGCAACAGUUGAAGCGCUGUCAGGGCAGGACCGAGAGGCGGCGGCCGUUGUUGAAGUGCUGCCACAACACAACUGGAGGCGGCGGCAGGUCGGGCACCGCUGAGGCAGGAGCGAGAGGCUGACGCUGCUGGUGGAGCACCACCGAGGCAGGAAUAAGAGGUGGCGGCGGCUGGCUGAGUACUGUCGAGGCAGUAACGAGACGCAACUGCUGCUGGCUGAUCACCGCCUGUAAACAAAAUUCAAAACCUUCCCCUGUACCAGGGUAAAAGUUGUUUUGGUUGGGUAUUGUAUGAACUCACCAGGUGUAUUCCUCAUGCACAAAUAACACAAUUUUACUGUUGUAAUGCUACUUGUGUUCAAAUAUCUAGAAGGUCUGCAGUGGUUCUCACGACUAGUUUCCUUGUCCAAGCUAUCCCUCUGUCUAAGACAAAGACAUACAGAGCCACAAUUCUGCAAGGCCACUCAG